GUGCUCCUCUCCCCAGCCCUUUUCUAGCCCGGCGUGGGCCUACCAGGCGGCGGCGCUCCUCCCGGGCCAGAUCUGGCCGGCCACCUGCUUCUCCACCCUCCCCACGACCGGAUCCGGCGGCGGCGCGCAGUCGGCGGCCUCAGCGCCCCGCUUGCGACUGGGCCUGCCGCACCCUCUCGGUCUCGGAGCAUCGCUGCAGCGACUGCGGCGCCCAAAGAUCCGGGCCUCCCCGCCCCAAGAGCCGCCGGGGCCCCAGGUCGAGGAGCUCGCAGUACAGGGGCGUCACCUUCUACAGGUGGACCGGCCGCUGGGAGUCACACAUCUGGGAGUAGGGACUGCGGGAAGCAGGUCUACCUGGGUGAGUUCAAAUUCUAGUUCCCCUACUCAAGCUCCCGUUAACUUUUUACUGUGCUUCUUGUAAAAAAGAAAAAGAGGAGCUUUUACUGUGGUUAAUUUGAUUGGGCUGUGCUGGCGACGUUUCUGUUUCAAGUGGAUUCGACACCGCGCACGCCGCAGCUAGGUUUGAACUGAACACUGGUGCAUUCAAAUUGAUGACACCUCCCACAAUGCGUCAUAUAUUUGUCUACUAUUUUCCUUCCAUGUUUAUACGAUCGUCCUCACUGGUUUAUGAUCACAUUCCAUUUUUGGUACUCCAUUGGAGCAUCCAUUCCUAUCAGAUGCAUGCUUCUAUGCUUGGCCUUAUAGGUUUCUAUGCCCCUAUAGAAAACUUUUCUACACUGAGUUUGUACCCUACUUGUAUGAGGGAAGUGUAUAAUUUUUGCCACCAUAUGAAUGUAACUUCAUAGAUGCCUGUGUUUUUUAGCAUAAAAGUAUCCAUUUUCACCUUUA